rnacentral:lncRNA from 1 species
CCCAUCAUACUCUGCCAUGAAUGCGGCACAACAAAGCCCAUUACACCCUGCCAUGAAUGUGGCACAAGCACAGCCCCUAGUCGGGUACGGGUACGGGUACGUGCACGUGCACGUGUACGGGACCGGGACCGGGACCGGGACCGGGUCCGGGUACGGGUACGGGUACAGGUCCGGGUACGGGUACAAGUCCGGGUUUCUAAAAUGAUCGUAGCUUCCGGACCUUAGAAACCAAGUUUUCUCCCCGUACUUGAUCUGUCCUGUCACAAACAUUGGCAUGGUUAUAAUAUUGAGUGGUGUGCUCUUCCAGGACCUUAAAAAGAUGCUCGAUGCUCACAGAGACUUCAGGAAUAG